GAUGAACGCUAGCGGCAGGCCUAAUACAUGCAAGUCGAGCGGAGUCAGCAAUGGCUUAGCGGCGAACGGGUGCGUAACGCGUAUGUAACCUGCCCAAGGGAGGGGGACAACAUCGGGAAACUGGUGCUAACACCCCAUGAUGCAGCGGACCCGCAUGGGUAUAGUUGUUAAAGGAGCAAUCCGCCUUUGGAGGGGCAUGCGUCCGAUUAGCUAGUUGGUGGGGUAAUGGCCCACCAAGGCGACGAUCCUUAGCUGGUCUGAGAGGAUGAUCAGCCACACUGGGACUGAGACACGGCCCAGACUCCUACGGGAGGCAGCAGUGGGGAAUAUUGGACAAUGGGCGCAAGCCUGAUCCAGCCAUGCCGCGUGAGUGAUGAAGGCCUUAGGGUUGUAAAGCUCUUUCGCCCGCGAAGAUAAUGACGGUAGCGGGAGAAGAAGCCCCGGCUAACUUCGUGCCAGCCGCCGCCGUAAUAC
rnacentral:rRNA from 1 species